rnacentral:rRNA from 1 species
GACGAACCGAGCGAACGUUGUUCGGAAUCACUGGGCUUAAAGGGCGCGUAGGCGGGCUCUCAAGUCCGGGGUGAAAUCCUCCAGCUCAACUGGAGAACUGCCUCGGAUACUGGGGGUCUCGAGGGUGGUAGGGGUAUGCGGAACUAUCGGUGGAGCGGUGAAAUGCGUUGAUAUCGAUAGGAACUCCGGUGGCGAAGGCGGCAUACUGGACCACUUCUGACGCUGAGGCGCGAAAGCCAGGGGAG